CGCUAUUUGCUCGACGCCAGGUAACAAGCGUUAGCCAAAAAAUUAAUUUCCGUAUUUUUUCGACGCUUUUAAGCGUCACCAUUGGAAUCGACACAUAAAAGCGUCGAAAAAAAGACAUGUGAUAUUGCACGUGACUAUAGUCCAUCCCGGGACUUCAAAAUUUCAGGAAAAAAAAGCGGGCUAAUUAAACAAAAAGAAAACCGCUCAUACAUACAGCAAAAGUUAGACUGAAGAAAUAAAAAAAAAACCCUUUAGCUCCCCAUUAUCGAAACGAACCCUAACUCUUCUUUGCUUGUUCACAAUCGCUCUCAUCUUAUCUCUUAAACCAAUUGAAAUUAUUGAAUUUUCGUUGCUCUCUUCAAUAUUAUCUUCAAUUUUCGAGAAGUCAAGAAUAUAUAUCACAGGUGACAGAGGAGGAGCUUAUCUAAAAAUUGUUCUAAUUGUGAUAGUUGCUGCACUUAGUGAGUUCGAGGUUAUGAAUGCAACAGGAGGACAAGGAAAAUCUACUAAAGAUGGAAAUUAGCCUACUAAGCACCUUCUUUUUUUUUAAUAGUUAGUAAUAUAUAUAUAUAUAUAUAUA